rnacentral:lncRNA from 1 species
AGAAGUUGUCUGCCACCUGCAGCCACUAUCCUACCCAAUCGAGUACCGCCAAAAUUGGAAUUAUCUUCGUUGAGGUUUUGUUGGUCACCAUUACCGGACAUUCCACCUGUGUUCAAGGCAAAAGCUACUCUCCACCCAGAUUUUAUCAGGAAACUGAUAAUGCACAGAUACAGAGAAGAAACAUUCAGAUAUUAUCAUGCAAAUUAACUUGUGAGAGGAAAAAGGAAAGUACCCUGUACUGCUAAAGAUGCAUAAUUUCCAUAUUUAAAAUUUUAUGAUGACAGACUUGGUAGCAUAAACUAUCAAAUGGGUGAUUUUUGGAUAAGGGAAAACACAACAUGCUGAAAUGGGUUCAAAUUUUUACCAGUUAUAGAGAGCAGGUGAAGAAUUCAUUCCAACUUUUAGAGUUAGCCCAGUGAAACUUGGCUUACAGAAACAGCUAUGGAUUCUAGAAGUUGCGGAUAUACAUGAUUUUUGGGAGCUUCCAUUCUCUGUAAUUGAUAAUCUCCAAUGCAGAUUCAUGGAUCCCAUGCUAUAUAUAAGUCUUGAGAAUUGUUUUACAGCAUUUCACAGGACCCUAAUCUGCACAAGUUAAAAGCCUUAAGAACUUUGAUGUAAAACUUUACAUCAUGCAUCACUAAUUAAAUUACAAACAACAAGAUAAACUUUAAAAUUAGAAUAACAUAUUGGAUGGGAUAUAAUUGGGUAUAGUAUUCCUUUGGUGCUUCACUACAAAGUGGGUCAAAUCCCGAAAUUGAGCAAAAUAGUGUCUUGAAAACAAGAAAACAAGAAAACCCUGGAAAUUAUCGAAAGCUCAGGAUUUCGAAGUGGGGUUCAAUUUGAAUGCAAAAAAGAUAAGACAGGAAGAUGAUCCAGAUUAGUUUUUUAAACUUAUCUCACUCCUUGUAGGGAAAUUAAAUGUUUGAAUUAAAAUUAAUAGUAUCUAAACUAUUAGAUAUCCCUAUAUUUGAUAACUAUGGAGUAAAUUCAAAAAACUUUACCUAACUAAAUCCCCACCCAAAAGAUAAUAUAGUCAUUACCGUCACAUUAUUACGAUUUAAUUUCACGCCAUAAUUAUACUUUGUCAACACAAUCACAAUAUUAUGGCAUCACCCACCACAUCACCGAGUCUCCACAACUUUUUUUUGCUACUAUGGUCUCUUUUGGUUAAAUAAGAAAUGACUGUUUUCCAACAAAUGUCACUCCUAAAAAUCAAACUCUUACUUUUUGGUCAUCCAAAUUAUUUAAGGGAGAAACAACUCUGAAUAAACUUUCUACAUUGAGAUAUUAAAAUCAGCUCUAUGACUUAAUGUAAAAAAUCUGAAAUGAUUUCCUUCUAGUGUGUGGCUACUAGCUAGGGACAGGGUUUUUCUUCUGUGCUUGUUGGAUCUUGAUGCAAUCGUGUUCCUUGUCUCUAGAAAUAUUAUUGUAAGACUGGUUGAGUGGACCAUUAAGGUCCAAUUAUAGUAUUAGACAAAAGAGUAUCUCAUCAAAGGGGAUUACAAUGUAACAUAGAGAGUCUGUUUUUUGUUUUGUUGAUUUUAUAAUUAUUCUUAAUUACAUUCACCUUGUGGUUCUUUGUUUCAGGCUCUUGAUCUUUCUGUGGACCUGAGUGCUGCAAGUGCUGCAACUGAAGAAUAAGGUUGCUUGAAUCUAUAUACACACACACGUCCAAGUAUUAGAAAGAAAGCUUUUUAUCUUCAUUAUCUAAUAGUGAGAGAGCAAUAAAAAGAUAAAAAUCUUUGUAACUAUUGCUCGAGGGGCAAUUUAUGCCUCAUGUGGUUGCAUUCUUUAACUCAUGUCAGCUAUUUUUCAGUCAAUAUGAUUGUUGUCAUGAUUUUCCUGUUAUCAUGAAAUCUAUUUCAUUACCCAAAAAACUAAAAACAUGUGACUGUGAUAUACAGUAAGAUCAUAGCAAAUACGUGGUAUACUGCUGCAAAUUAAAAUUUGCCUUCCAAGAAAACUGAGGUUCAAAUGAAAACAUGUAAAGCUAGAUCUUUUAAUCCCUACAAACUUUUCUCAUCAAGCUUAGCAUUAAUAAUAAUAAUAAAACAAAAAAAUUCAUAUGUCUACUUACUAACACAAUGACUAUGCAAGAUUAUAUAAUGUGAUACUUAUGAGAUUAACAAAGUAAUCAAUCACCUUCCUCCUAGAUUCAGUUCAAGCAGAGGUCUUCACUAUUUCUAGUUUCCAUUCAAGGCACCAGGAAUUGAAUCCUAAAAUUUCAACCUGUUGCUUCAUAAUGCAUACCACUCCCAGCACUUAAUGAAGGUACACCAUCUGUUGCUAUAUAUAUAUUAACAAAAGGAGCAAUACCACAUUCAUAAUUUUUUAUAUUCACAUUGGUGCAUUAUUGCAUAAGUAGCUCCAUAUAAAGAUAUAAAAUUCAGGUAGCUCCAAAGCCCCUUACUUCAAAAGUUUCCUCUUAAACUCAGCAACCAGAACAGAUUUGCAAGAGAAAAUGAAGUCAGGGGUCAUGCUAUGCAUAUGCAAGUACGUAGCACUAUGCACAGAGCCACGAAGUUAUUAAGCAAUCUUCAUAUAUACUACUCAUAUAUAUCACAAUUACAUGUACACAAUUACUUUAAAACUUGGUAGCAUAAAGAGAAGGAACGCCAAACUUGAGGGUUACCAGAGUUUAUGAAAAAAUAAGAUAUUGCAUAGGGGCCAAGAUACAGCAAUAAAUUGAAAGGAGAAAGCGAGACCGACACGUUUUGGGGGUCCUUAGCUGCCUAACUUAAAAGCAUCCACAAAGAGGCCUAAACAUAUACCAGCUUUCCAAUAGUUCAUCAUCAUUAGAAAAGACUGCAGCCUCCUAGUCCUUACAGUAGGUGGCUUUUUAUACAUUAACAUACCAAUCCCCUCGAUUGCAGCCACUACAACACCAGCAACCAGAACAUCCCAAUCGCCGGUUUGUCCAAGGAUUGUAGCUAGUGCAUUUGCUGUGUAGAAACCCAAAAGUAGCAGGAAUAUUUUCAUAGGGAAGUUCUUUCUAGCUGAGUUCAGCUUUUCUAGAAGUUGUCUGCCACCUGCAGCCACUAUCCUACCCAAUCGAGUACCGCCAAAAUUGGAAUUAUCUUCGUUGAGGUUUUGUUGGUCACCAUUACCGGACAUUCCACCUGUGUUCAAGGCAAAAGCUACUCUCCACCCAGAUUUUAUCAGGAAACUGAUAAUGCACAGAUACAGAGAAGAAACAUUCAGAUAUUAUCAUGCAAAUUAACUUGUGAGAGGAAAAAGGAAAGUACCCUGUACUGCUAAAGAUGCAUAAUUUCCAUAUUUAAAAUUUUAUGAUGACAGACUUGGUAGCAUAAACUAUCAAAUGGGUGAUUUUUGGAUAAGGGAAAACACAACAUGCUGAAAUGGGUUCAAAUUUUUACCAGUUAUAGAGAGCAGGUGAAGAAUUCAUUCCAACUUUUAGAGUUAGCCCAGUGAAACUUGGCUUACAGAAACAGCUAUGGAUUCUAGA